UGGCCGUUGGAAGGCGAAGCCCGGAACCGCAGAGUUCCGGAGUCUGUCAGCCGGGGGGCGCGGGGGACGCGGGGGACGUGGCACGUGACCUCCUUGACCCGAGAGCUCGGCCCCGCGGCACCCAAGUGCUAGUGUAGCCCCCGCCCUCUCUCGGUUCCGCGCUACCCCUUAAAAGCCCGGCCUGGACACAAAAAACCACCGGCGUCGUAGCCAAUGGAGUCCCGCAAGAUCGACCUGCUGCCCAAUCGGAAGGCGCAGCUGCCCGGGACGGGAUGGGAAUCACCCGGACCCCAGGUGACUCCCUGGCCCGGACGGGGAGGUGUCUCCCGCAAUUGAUGGGCUACUCACUCGGUCCCUACAUCCGGCGAGUUACGGUGACGAAGCUGCGGGAGCGCGCAGGCAGUGUCCAUUCGCAGAAUCCUUGUGUGCUGCAGCCAAGUAGCGAUGGAGCUGCAUCAGGAGGCUGGGAAGGAAAGUAAGCUGUGUGCCCUUGGACAAAUUACUUCAGCUCUCUGGUGGACUCAUCUUUAAAUGGGAGGCAAGAAUUCUUCCUGUCUCUGAGCAUGGGAAUUUGUUUUGGUAAGACUGUAAAACUCUUUGAGUAGCAACUUAUCAGGGUCCUUGCUGGUGACCCUGGGUGUUGCAGAAGCACAGUGCUGCUGUGAGGAGGGUUCUGCAGGAGGACAAGAGACCCGCAGCAAGCGUGGGCAAAGGGGCCUGCCCUGCCCCACAGCCUACUUCCAUGUCAGUGGAUCUGCAGGGAGACAGCUCCUUACAAGUGGAGAUCUCUGAUGCCGUGAGCAAGCAGGACAAGGUGAAAUUCACUGUUCAAGCAAGGGGAGGGGGCCUGGGUGAGGGAACAGGCUUCCUGGCUUCCAGAGCGGCCUUCCUCAUUUUACCCACAUGGCGUUCUCAGUUGUGCGGCCACAUGAGGAUUUCGCCCAGCUAUGUGACACCCACGUGGAGAAUGAGGACCACGCAUGAGCGAGUGGCCUCAGCAACCUACCCCUCCUGUGAGCAGAUUCCCCCAGCUUCUCCCAGGUGACAUUGAGGCUUCAAGGGAAAAGCUGCAGAAGCUCGGUGCGCGGGACAGCUCAGGAGGAAUCUGCCAAAAUGGAGCAGGAGCUAGCAGCAUGAGUGCCAGCGCCUGCUGUCUCUGGUGGCCAAGCCCCAGCCCCAGGCCUCCUCAGAACUCCAUGAUUUCUUCUCACCUAUGCCCCUAUGGAUGUUCCUCUGGCCCUGGGACUGCUGAGGGGAAGAUGGGCAGGAUGAUGGAGCCCAAAAGAGCCCUCAAGCUGCCUGCACUCCUGCAGGAAGUCCCCAGCCAUCUUUAAGACAGUUGUGUUGCAUGAAUUCUUUCUGCAGCACUGGCGACCCACCCAACCUGCAGUAAGACCACAACUUUGUGGUCUUGGAAUACAGCCAGGAUGUGAACUGGGCCAGAGCACUAGGGUCACUUCCCGUUGGGGGUGUCAAGCCAAAGAAGAUGCCCACUGGGCUCAUGCCCAUCAUGACAGGAUGGGGGAUUCAAGCACCACCCCAGCAUCUCAUCUUCUCUUUGUGUGCCCCAGCUAAGCGUCAGAGGGAAGAACAGGAAGGAACUUGCUUCUGAAGUACAUCAUGAGGCCUGCAGAUGAAGCCUCAGCACUGGUGAGGAUCCUGUCUGACUCACUUAGAAGGUGGAUGACUUCUUUGAGCAUGGGAGGAACUUCCUGCUGGAAUACCCCACCUGCAUCUGAGAUGCCUACCGCUGGGCAGACUGUGUCGUGCCAUACGCAGAGUACACAGGGUCAGGGGGCCUGGUGGUGUCACUCCCUGGGGGAGAAAGAAGAGCAGGGGAUGCCCUGGCAUCUGUCCAUGGCCUGGUGGAUGAUUACAUCCCUUUCUGCUGCACUGAGCAGCCUGGGAACACAGGGAUUCAACCAGCUAAAGAUGAGAGGAAUUUCCCUUACCCUCUCCCUGUGCUUGUAAACUGUGUGCCCAUGAGAAGUCACUCUGUAGAAGGCUGCUGUCAGCUCUAGGUGAGAGGAAGUUCCCACAGGGGGGUGGGAGAGAAAGGGGAGAGGGGGAUUCCCAAGGAGGGGCUGAGGACAUGGAGGCCUUGUACGGCACCAGGCCCCUGCCCUAAGUCCUCGCCAUCACCUAGAAGCUUGCUUAAAUUGGCAGAGCUCUUUGAACUGAAGGUAAGUACUGCCUUGUAUCCUCAAAGCUUCCACGAUGAGCCUGUCAGGAAGAUGAGUCCUGAGAGAGCAAAACUGCAGAGCCAAUUUGGAAUGUUAAGUGGUAGGUGGCCCUGGUGGCACUCUGGACUCCCACCACAGACUAGUGUAAUAAGUGGAAUGAGGGCUGGGGAUAUAGCUCAGUUGGUAGAGUGCUUGCCUUGCAUGCACAAGGCCCUGGGUUCAAUCCCCAGCACCAAAAAAAAAAAAAAAAGUGGAAUGAAAGCAAGGGUCCAAUCAGAUGAGGGAAGAGUAGGAAGUGGAUUUGGUAAGGCACAAGGAUGUGGCACGUGCCUCUGGCUACCAUGAGCCACCAACGUCCUGCCCAGACACACUUCCCGAACUCUUCUCCAAGGAAGUCACUGGAAUAUGUCAAUCUUUCUUCCCUGCCUGAGCCCCUGCACAUGGGCCCUUCGGCUUCCAGUACCUACCAAGACACAGAGCCCAAAGCCCUUAAAACUUAACUUUCAGGCCUUUUGUGAUCAGGCCACUACUGCCUUUCCCAGCUUUGCCCAACAUGCCCCCACUGAACCUGUGGUCCCAACACAUACCAACUCGUGCAUCUGCAAACCCUUUGCCUUUGGCUAACUCAAUCUCCAAGGCCCAGUCUGGGGACCGCUUUCCUCUCUUAAGUCUGCCCUGGCCAGCACCCUUGAGGAUCAGGGUCUCCUGACCUGUAUUGGUUACCAAGGAAUUCUCUACUGGGUAUUUUGAGAAAGAGAGGGCCUACCUCACCUAAGCUGCUCUUUUGGAGACCUUGCUUUCCAGUUUCCACCUGCCUGAUGGAGCUCACUAAGGACCUGAAGCUGUCAAGACAGCAAGACUAUAUGAGACUCAUGGGCAGUCAAGGUCAGGGGUGGCCCCACGGUACCCUCAGAGCUGGAGGUCAAUGGGAGAAGUGGGUAGGUUACCUUGUACCAGUGGUUACAGGCAACCACAAGAAUGCCAGCAAGGCCCUGGAUAAGACAUGCACCAGGUAGAGGGAUUUGUGGACAGCUGAGAGCCACCAGCAGCUGUGCUGCCGUGACUUGAUUGCCUGUCAAGCAGGGUGAGCCCCACAGGUGACAGUCCCCACACUGGGCUGCCCAGCCACACUGCCUAUUCCCAUCUUCCUUCCUCACCACAGCUUAUAGAUGCCAGGUUCCACUGGG